UGAACAUAAGAGUUUGAUCCUGGCUCAGAUUGAACGCUGGCGGCAUGCUUUACACAUGCAAGUCGGACGGCAGCACAGGGAAGCUUGCUUCUCGGGUGGCGAGUGGCGAACGGGUGAGUAACAUAUCGGAACGUACCGGGUAGCGGGGGAUAACUGAUCGAAAGAUCAGCUAAUACCGCAUACGUCUUGAGAGGGAAAGCAGGGGACCUUCGGGCCUUGCGCUAUCCGAGCGGCCGAUAUCUGAUUAGCUGGUUGGCGGGGUAAAGGCCCACCAAGGCGACGAUCAGUAGCGGGUCUGAGAGGAUGAUCCGCCACACUGGGACUGAGACACGGCCCAGACUCCUACGGGAGGCAGCAGUGGGGAAUUUUGGACAAUGGGCGCAAGCCUGAUCCAGCCAUGCCGCGUGUCUGAAGAAGGCCUUCGGGUUGUAAAGGACUUUUGUCAGGGAAGAAAAGGCCGUUGCCAAUAUCGGCGGCCGAUGACGGUACCUGAAGAAUAAGCACCGGCUAACUACGUGCCAGCAGCCGCGGUAAUACGUAGGGUGCGAGCGUUAAUCGGAAUUACUGGGCGUAAAGCGGGCGCAGACGGUUACUUAAGCAGGAUGUGAAAUCCCCGGGCUCAACCCGGGAACUGCGUUCUGAACUGGGUGACUCGAGUGUGUCAGAGGGAGGUGGAAUUCCACGUGUAGCAGUGAAAUGCGUAGAGAUGUGGAGGAAUACCGAUGGCGAAGGCAGCCUCCUGGGAUAACACUGACGUUCAUGUCCGAAAGCGUGGGUAGCAAACAGGAUUAGAUACCCUGGUAGUCCACGCCCUAAACGAUGUCAAUUAGCUGUUGGGCAACUUGAUUGCUUGGUAGCGUAGCUAACGCGUGAAAUUGACCGCCUGGGGAGUACGGUCGCAAGAUUAAAACUCAAAGGAAUUGACGGGGACCCGCACAAGCGGUGGAUGAUGUGGAUUAAUUCGAUGCAACGCGAAGAACCUUACCUGGUUUUGACAUGUGCGGAAUCCUCCGGAGACGGAGGAGUGCCUUCGGGAGCCGUAACACAGGUGCUGCAUGGCUGUCGUCAGCUCGUGUCGUGAGAUGUUGGGUUAAGUCCCGCAACGAGCGCAACCCUUGUCAUUAGUUGCCAUCAUUCGGUUGGGCACUCUAAUGAGACUGCCGGUGACAAGCCGGAGGAAGGUGGGGAUGACGUCAAGUCCUCAUGGCCCUUAUGACCAGGGCUUCACACGUCAUACAAUGGUCGGUACAGAGGGUAGCCAAGCCGCGAGGCGGAGCCAAUCUCACAAAACCGAUCGUAGUCCGGAUUGCACUCUGCAACUCGAGUGCAUGAAGUCGGAAUCGCUAGUAAUCGCAGGUCAGCAUACUGCGGUGAAUACGUUCCCGGGUCUUGUACACACCGCCCGUCACACCAUGGGAGUGGGGGAUACCAGAAGUAGGUAGGGUAACCGCAAGGAGUCCGCUUACCACGGUAUGCUUCAUGACUGGGGUGAAGUCGUAACAAGGUAGCCGUAGGGGAACCUGCGGCUGGAUCACCUCCUUUCU
rnacentral:rRNA from 2 species